rnacentral:misc_RNA from 1 species
UUAACUAUUAUAUAGUACUCAGACAUCACUAAUAAAAGAGUUUGGGUCCUCUGGCGGGCACGAUCGGCCGGAGCCAACGCCUAAACGGACGGCCCGCCAAAGCAACAAAGGUAAACAAAGUACAGGGUGUAUAAUAUCUCCCUUCGCAGCCCGCUGCAAGCAGCGGACCGGUCCGGUUCAUAUUUUUAAUGAUCCUUCCGCAGGUUCACCUACGGAAA